AACUCUUCAUGAAAUGAAGAAAGAGAGUUAUCUAUCUAUCUAUUUAUCUAUUUAGAUAUUGAUUGAGUAAGCUGAAGAUGUAAGCAGCGAUAUUGGUGAGGUUCAAUCCGAAGAUUGACUUACAAACAAUGAAGAAGAGGAAGGAAUACUGCACUUUUGAUCAGAAAAGGAAGGUAUAGUUCAUUUUGAAUUCCAGCAACUUAGGUAUGGCUUAACUUUUCUGAUUUUUAUUUAUUUAUUUUCAAUUAUAUAGGAAGCAAUAGUUCAUUUUCAGAAUCGUGAUUGUGCUAACUUACAGAUAGACUAGAAUCAACUCUGCCACAAUCUCCAUUCUUGUGCUUCUCAUCCAAACAUGUUCUUUUGAACCAGCUCGUGAACUUCAAGGGGAGGAAAAGAUAAAUUUUCAGGUCUGGAAAAU